UCCUGUGGACCAUUCUCCUUCAGCUCGAGGCUUAGCAUGAAGGUGUUGAGCUUCCAUCGCGAGAUAGAGAGAAAGAGAAAGAAACUAGUAUAUUUAAAACAGAACAAUAUGUUUAAGACUUUAAGGUGUGUUUGAUCUGAAGCUAACGUAAUGCUUGUAUUUAUAAGAACAUUAAUCUCUUUAACUCGGCAGAGCCUCUAUUAUUUUUGACCAAAAAAUAACAACUUACUUAUCUUUGAAUUAGUACCCACCGCCGUUACUUAUAUUAAUUUCCUUGACUUUUACUUUUCUUUUUUAGGUUUUGUUUUGAGGAAUAUUUUAUUUUUAAUGGACGACGAUGGCACAUUUGUAAAAUUGUAACUGUGUUUUCAUUAAAACUAUAAACAGUGUUUUCAUUAACUUUCAAGAGGGAAAAAUAGAUGUAUGACUGAUUCCCAAAACAUAUUUUAGAACAAUAUGUUUAAGUCACUAAAUGAAACCAAACCACUUAAACCAAAUCCUGAAAGAAGUAAAAACCAAAAUGUUCACCCCUAUUCUUGGACGUUAAUUGUCUGACCUCUGAAAAUGCGUGGUGUGAUUGUUUAGUUGAAUUGAGACGACGGUAUUUCACUCUUAAUUGCUUUAUUUUAUACUAAUCACAUUGGAAAAGAAAGAAAAA